CCUACGGGAGGCAGCAGUGAGGAAUAUUGGUCAAUGGCCGAGAGGCUGAACCAGCCAAGUCGCGUGAGGGAAGACGGCCCUACGGGUUGUAAACCUCUUUUGUCGGGGAGCAAAGCGAACCACGUGUGGUUCAUUGAGAGUACCCGAAGAAAAAGCAUCGGCUAACUCCGUGCCAGCAGCCGCGGUAAUACGGAGGAUGCGAGCGUUAUCCGGAUUUAUUGGGUUUAAAGGGUGCGCAGGCGGAGGUGCAAGUCAGCGGUAAAAUUGCGGGGCUCAACCCCGUACUGCCGUUGAAACUGCAUCCCUUGAGUGCGCGAGAAGUAUGCGGAAUUCGUGGUGUAGCGGUGAAAUGCUUAGAUAUCACGAAGAACCCCGAUUGCGAAGGCAGCCUGCCGCAGCGUUACUGACGCUGAAGCUCGAAAGCGCGGGUAUCGAACAGGAUUAGAUACCCCUGUAGUC
rnacentral:rRNA from 1 species